GGUGAACGCUGGCGGUAGGCCUAACACAUGCAAGUCGAACGGCAGCACAGUAAGAGCUUGCUCUUACGGGUGGCGAGUGGCGGACGGGUGAGGAAUACAUCGGAAUCUACUUUUUCGUGGGGGAUAACGUAGGGAGACUUACGCUAAUACCGCAUACGACCUACGGGUGAAAGCAGGGGAUCUUCGGACCUUGCGCGAUUGAAUGAGCCGAUGUCGGAUUAGCUAGUUGGCGGGGUAAAGGCCCACCAAGGCGACGAUCCGUAGCUGGUCUGAGAGGAUGAUCAGCCACACUGGAACUGAGACACGGUCCAGACUCCUACGGGAGGCAGCAGUGGGGAAUAUUGGACAAUGGGCGCAAGCCUGAUCCAGCCAUACCGCGUGGGUGAAGAAGGCCUUCGGGUUGUAAAGCCCUUUUGUUGGGAAAGAAAAGCAGCAGGUUAAUACCCCGCUGUUCUGACGGUACCCAAAGAAUAAGCACCGGCUAACUUCGUG
rnacentral:rRNA from 1 species